AAAUCCUAAGGGGAUACUAGGUUAAAAUUCAAAGAGACAAAAGAGACCGCGGGAGUUGAAUUUUUAAAAGAUUUCAUUCACUUCAACAACUAUAUAGCAAUUGUUUUCUCUUCUCCUUUUUCUUUUUAUUCUUUUUGUUUUUUUUAGAAGGAGUAUGUAUUGACAUGUAUUGAUAUCCUUCUAUUUUUUAUUCAUUUUUUUUCAUUUUCUAUUUUCUAUUUUUUUUCUUUUUCUGCCAACUUUUGAAAUAUUACAAACAUAAUUAUUCAACCCACACAACUCCAAACAAGACUCUUUCGACCCUUU
rnacentral:lncRNA from 1 species